rnacentral:rRNA from 1 species
GAUGAACGCUGGCGGCGUGCCUAAUACAUGCAAGUCGAGCGAACAGACGAGGAGCUUGCUCCUCUGACGUUAGCGGCGGACGGGUGAGUAACACGUGGAUAACCUACCUAUAAGACUGGGAUAACUUCGGGAACCGGAGCUAAUACCGGAUAAUCUAUUGAACCGCAUGGUUCAAUAGUGAAAGACGGUUUUGCUGUCACUUAUAGAUGGAUCCGCGCCGCAUUAGCUAGUUGGUAAGGUAACGGCUUACCAAGGCAACGAUGCGUAGCCGACCUGAGAGGGUGAUCGGCCACACUGGAACUGAGACACGGUCCAGACUCCUACGGGAGGCAGCAGUAGGGAAUCUUCCGCAAUGGGCGAAAGCCUGACGGAGCAACGCCGCGUGAGUGAUGAAGGUCUUCGGAUCGUAAAACUCUGUUAUUAGGGAAGAACAAAUGUGUAAGUAACUAUGCACGUCUUGACGGUACCUAAUCAGAAAGCCACGGCUAACUACGUG